CCUCCUUUUCUUGGCAUCUCUGAACUCUCCCACAUGUUCAUGAGAUGAAUGCAACCAGGAGGAAGAUAAACAUGAUGAACCUUCGGUGUCAGGGUCUUUAUGCCCUGGUCCCAUCCUCUAGCAUCAUUACAGGG
rfam:Strongylocentrotus purpuratus Contig106768_fixed, whole genome shotgun sequence.